ACGGGUGAGUAAUGCAUCGGAACGUGCCCAGUAGCGGGGGAUAACGCAGCGAAAGCUGUGCUAAUACCGCAUAUUCUCUACGGAGGAAAGAGGGGGAUCGCAAGACCUCUCACUAUUGGAGCGGCCGAUGUCUGAUUAGCUAGUUGGUGGGGUAAAAGCUCACCAAGGCGACGAUCAGUAGCUGGUUUGAGAGAACGACCAGCCACACUGGGACUGAGACACGGCCCAGACUCCUACGGGAGGCAGCAGUGGGGAAUUUUGGACAAUGGGGGCAACCCUGAUCCAGCCAUGCCGCGUGUGGGAAGAAGGCCUUCGGGUUGUAAACCACUUUUGUCAGGGAAGAAAUCGAACCCGCUAAUACUGGGUUUGGAUGACGGUACCUGGAGAAUAAGCACCGGCUAACUACGUGCCAGCAGCCGCGGUAAUACGUAGGGUGCAAGCGUUAAUCGGAAUUACUGGGCGUAAAGCGUGCGCAGGCGGUUUCGCAAGUCAGAUGUGAAAGCCCCGGGCUUAACCUGGGAACUGCAUUUGAAACUACGAGGCUAGAGUGUGUCAGAGGGGGGUAGAAUUCCACGUGUAGCAGUG
rnacentral:rRNA from 1 species